rnacentral:tRNA from 1 species
CGGGGCGUAGCGCAGUUCGGUAGCGCACUAUCUUGGGGUGAUAGGGGUCGCUGGUUCAAAUCCAGUCGCCCCGACCA